CUCUGGCUGGUCGAAGAUACCAGGCCGCUGCGACUGUUUAUUAAAAACACAGCACUCUGCAAACACGAAAGUGGACGUAUAGGGUGUGACGCCUGCCCGGUGCCGGAAGGUUAAUUGAUGGGGUUAGCGCAAGCGAAGCUCUUGAUCGAAGCCCCGGUAAACGGCGGCCGUAACUAUAACGGUCCUAAGGUAGCGAAAUUCCUUGUCGGGUAAGUUCCGACCUGCACGAAUGGCGUAACGAUGGCGGCGCUGUCUCCACCCGAGACUCAGUGAAAUUGAAAUCGCUGUGAAGAUGCAGUGUAUCCGCGGCUAGACGGAAAGACCCCGUGAACCUUUACUGUAGCUUUGCACUGGACUUUGAGCCUGCUUGUGUAGGAUAGGUGGGAGGCUUUGAAGCGUGGACGCCAGUUCGCGUGGAGCCAUCCUUGAAAUACCACCCUGGCAUGCUUGAGGUUCUAACUCUGGUCCGUGAUCCGGAUCGAGGACAGUGUAUGGUGGGCAGUUUGACUGGGGCGGUCUCCUCCUAAAGAGUAACGGAGGAGUACGAAGGUGCGCUCAGACCGGUCGGAAAUCGGUCGCAGAGUAUAAAGGCAAAAGCGCGCUUGACUGCGAGACAGACACGUCGAGCAGGUACGAAAGUAGGUCUUAGUGAUCCGGUGGUUCUGUAUGGAAGGGCCAUCGCUCAACGGAUAAAAGGUACUCCGGGGAUAACAGGCUGAUACCGCCCAAGAGUUCAUAUCGACGGCGGUGUUUGGCACCUCGAUGUCGGCUCAUCACAUCCUGGGGCUGAAGCCGGUCCCAAGGGUAUGGCUGUUCGCCAUUUAAAGUGGUACGCGAGCUGGGUUUAGAACGUCGUGAGACAGUUCGGUCCCUAUCUGCCGUGGACGUUUGAGAUUUGAGAGGGGCUGCUCCUAGUACGAGAGGACCGGAGUGGACGAACCUCUGGUGUUCCGGUUGUCACGCCAGUGGCAUUGCCGGGUAGCUAUGUUCGGAAAAGAUAACCGCUGAAAGCAUCUAAGCGGGAAACUUGCCUCAAGAUGAGAUCUCACUGGGAACUUGAUUCCCCUGAAGGGCCGUCGAAGACUACGACGUUGAUAGGCUGGGUGUGUAAGCGUUGUGAGGCGUUGAGCUAACCAGUACUAAUUGCCCGUGAGGCUUGACCAU
rnacentral:rRNA from 1 species